rnacentral:rRNA from 1 species
GUAUGAAUGGCCACAGCAGGGUCUUACAGCCUCUUACUUCCAUCCCGUCAAAUUGACCUUCCCGUGAAGAGGCGGGAAUAUGACAAUAAGACGAGAAGACCCUAUGGAGCUUUAAUUAACCGACCCAAAGAGAUCUUGAUAAUCAACCGACAGGGAUAACAUACCUCUACCAUGGGCCGACAAUUUAGGUUGGGGUGACCUCGGAGAAUAAAACAACCUCCGAGUGAUUUAAAUCUAGACUAACUAGUCGAAAGUACUACAUCACUUAUUGAUCCAAAAACUUGAUCAACGGAACAAGUUACCCUAGGGAUAACAGCGCAAUCCUAUUUUAGAGUCCAUAUCGACAAUAGGGUUUACGACCUCGAUGUUGGA